UUCCGGUUGAUCCCGCCGGACCUGACUGCUAUCGGAUUGAUACUAAGCCAUGCGAGUCAUUGUAGCAAUACAAGGCAUACGGCUCAGUAACGCGUAGUCAACCUACCCUAUGGACGGAAAUAACCUCGGGAAACUGAGAAUAAUAUCCGAUAGAACAUUAUGCCUGGAAUGGUUUAUGUUCCAAAUGAUUUAUCGCCGUAGGAUGGGACUGCGGCCUAUCAGUUUGUUGGUGAGGUAAUGGCCCACCAAGACUAUUACAGGUACGGGCUCUGAGAGGAGUAGCCCGGAGAUGGGUACUGAGACACGGACCCAGGCCCUAUGGGGCGCAGCAGGCGAGAAAACUUUGCAAUGUGCGAAAGCACGACAAGGUUAAUCCGAGUGAUUUCUGCUAAAGAAAUCUUUUGUUAGUCUAGAACACUAACGAAUAAGGGGUGGGCAAGUUCUGGUGUCAGCCGCCGCGGUAAAACCAGCACCUCAAGUGGUCAGGAUGAUUAUUGGGCCUAAAGCAUCCGUAGCCGGCUCUGUAAGUCCUCGGUUAAAUCUGUACGCUUAACGUACAGGCUGCCGGGAAUACUGCAUAGCUAGGGAGUGGGAGAGGUAGACGGUACUCGGUAGGAAGGGGUAAAAUCCUUUGAUCUAUUGAUGACCACCUGUGGCGAAGGCGGUCUACCAGAACACGUCCGACGGUGAGGGAUGAAAGCUGGGGGAGCAAACCGGAUUAGAUACCCGGGUAGUCCCAGCUGUAAACUAUGCAAACUCAGUGAUGCAUUGGCUUGUGGCCAAUGCAGUGCUGCAGGGAAGCCGUUAAGUUUGCCGCCUGGGAAGUACGUACGCAAGUAUGAAACUUAAAGGAAUUGGCGGGGGAGCACCACAAGGGGUGAAGCCUGCGGUUCAAUUGGAGUCAACGCCGG
rnacentral:rRNA from 2 species